rnacentral:tRNA from 1 species
CAUCUCAUUUACACCGAGAAGCCGCCCGUGCAAAUCGGACCAUCCUG